CUAACGUCCACGCUAGCUGCUAUAUGUUUUGCGUUAAGGUGAUACUUGAGGCUCGAUGUGCUGCGGUGAUAUGCAAAUUCCUUUUGGUGCUCCAGUAUAAUCGGUCCGCCGAAACUCAUCCAGUGAGAAACGUUCCGCGGUGCAAAAAUAAGUUAUUGAAAAUGCGGAAUUUUUUUUGUGUAAUUAAUUAAUCUUAAUUAACGCGUUAUUUUUUGUGUAAUUAAUUAAUCUCAAUUAACGCGUUAAAGUCCCGGCCCUAA